UGAAUACGAGAUGCUACGGCGUCGAAGCAGUCUAUGUCAUACUUCCAAGAAAAGCUUGCACUGUCAUAAACAAAUAAUGCCUGUACCAUAACCGACACAGGUGGGUAGGUAGAGUAUACUAAGGGGCGCGAGAUAACUCUCUCUAAGGAACUCGGCAAAAUGACUCCGUAACUUCGGGAGAAGGAGUGCCUUAUUUAUAAGGUUGCAAUAACAAGAUCCAAGCAACUGUUUACCAAAAACACAGGUCUCCGCUAAGUCGUAAGACGAUGUAUGGGGGCUGACGCCUGCCCAGUGCCAGAAGGUUAAAGAAGUUGGUUAGCAUCCGCGAAGCUGAUAACUGAAGCCCUGGUGAACGGCGGCCGUAACAAUAACGGUCCUAAGGUAGCGAAAUUCCUUGUCGGGUAAGUUCCGACCCGCACGAAAGGCGUAAUGAUUUGGAUACUGUCUCGGAGAGGGGCUCGGUGAAAUAGACUUGUCUGUGAAGAUGCGGACUACCUGCACCAGGACAGAAAGACCCUAUGAAGCUUUACUGUAACCUGAAAUUGGAAUUGGACUUUACUUGCGCAGUAUAGGUGGGAGGCGUUGAGAAUAUUCUUGCGGGAUUAUUGGAGCCAUCAGUGAGAUACCACUCUUGUAAUGUUAGAUUUCUAACUUUGUAUCAUUAUCUGGUCAAAGAACAGUUUCAGGCGGGCAGUUUGACUGGGGCGGUCGCCUCCUAAACGGUAACGGAGGCGCACAAAGGUUUCCUCUGAACGGGUAGAAAUCGUAUCUAGAGUGUAAAGGCAUAAGGAAGCUUGACUGUGAGACCUACAAGUCGAGCAGGGACGAAAGUCGGUCUUAGUGAUCUGACGGUGCUGAGUGGAAAGGCCGUCACUCAACGGAUAAAAGUUACUCUAGGAUAACAGGCUGAUCUCCCCCAAGAGUUCACAUCGACGGGGAGGUUUGGCACCUCGAUGUCGGCUCAUCGCAUCCUGGGGCGGUAGUACGUCCCAAGGGUUGGGCUGUUCGCCCAUGAAAGCGGUACGCGAGCUGGGUUCAGAACGUCGUGAGACAGUUCGGUCCAUAUCCGGUGUAGGCGUUAGAAUAUUGAGAGGAGCCUUCUUUAGUACGAGAGGACCGAGAAGGACAUACCUCUGGUGUACCAGUUAUCGUGCCAACGGUAAACGCUGGGUAGCUAUGUGUGGAGUGGAUAACCGCUGAAAGCAUCUAAGUGGGAAGCCCACCUCAAGAUAAGUAUUCUCAUG
rnacentral:rRNA from 1 species